GCCAUAUGAUGAUCUCCAGGCUAUUGUUACUUGGCUGGUCUGGUUGAGCCCUAGGACCCUUACCUUGCAUCCAGGUCUGUAAUCUUGGUGGGCAAUACAGAGCUGUGUUUGUUUGCUGUAAGGGCAGACCAACAAGAAGUUCCACCUCUUUUGCUCCCAUCUUCCUCUGAGGGGAGUGAUCCUGGCUGCCACUGAAAGAUCCUGGUAGCUGGAGUAGGGCAGAGGUAACAGGGCAAGCCUAGGGUAUUGAGGUCAAGGGUCCCAGAAGGCUUAGCUUAUGUUAUAGCCACCAAGAGAUGAGCACAGAUCUUUGGUAAUCUGAUGGCU
rnacentral:snoRNA from 1 species